GAUGGUUCAUUCAAAUUUCUGGCCCUAUCAACUUUCGAUGGUAGGAUAGUGGCCUACCAUGGUUUCAACGGGUAACGGGGAAUUAGGGUUCUAUUCCGGAGAGGGAGCCUGAGAAACGGGUACCACAUCCAAGGAAGGCAGCAGGCGCGCAAAUUACCCAAUCCCGACACGGGGAGGUAGUGACAAUAAAUACUGAUACAGGGCUCUUUUGGGUCUUGUAAUUGGAAUGAGUACAAUUUAAAUCCCUUAACGAGGAACAAUUGGAGGGCAAAGUCUGGUGCCAGCAGCCGCGGUAAUUCCAGCUCCAAUAGCGUAUAUUAAAGUUGUUGCAGUUAAAAAGCUCGUAGUUGAACCUUGGGCCUGGCUGGCCGGUCCGCCUCACCGCGUGCACUGGUCCGGCCGGGCCUUUCCUUCUGGGGAGCCGAUGCCCUUCACUGGGUGUGUCGGGGAACCAGGACUUUUACUUUGAACACAAAUUAGAGUGUUCAAAGCAGGCCUAUGCUCGAAUACAUUAGCAUGGAAUAAUAGA
rnacentral:rRNA from 1 species